rnacentral:tRNA from 1 species
GCCAGUACUUCAUUUCACUAAUUUGUCGAACGGGUCUCAAAAUCCCGCGCCGCAAGGCGUGCCGGUUCGAUUCCGGCUCUCGGCACCA